rnacentral:rRNA from 1 species
CACGGGGGGAGCAAGCGUUGUUCGGAAUCACUGGGCGUAAAGGGCGUGUAGGCGGUCAGGUAAGUGAGAUGUGAAAUGCCCCGGCUCACCCGGGGACCGGCAUCUCAUACUGCUUGGCUUGAGUACGGGAGAGGAUGUGGGAAUUCCUGGUGUAGCGGUGAAAUGCGUAGAUAUCAGGAGGAACACCGGUGGCGAAGGCGCACAUCUGGCCCGAUACUGACGCUGAGGCGCGAAAGCUAGGGGAGCAAACAGG